GGCAGUUCUUGGGUAACGCACCCUGGAAUUGGGCUCCCUCCUCUCUGGUUCUGGGUGCAUCACCCCAAAACCACA
rfam:Myotis davidii contig74275, whole genome shotgun sequence.